rnacentral:rRNA from 1 species
GAUGAACGCUAGCGGCAGGCUUCAUACAUGCAAGUCGAGGGGCAGCAUAAAUUACUUGUAAUUUGAUGGCGACCGGCGAACGGGUGCGUAACGCGUAUGCAACUUACCUUUUACUAGAGAAUAGCCAAGAGAAAUUUUGAUUAAUGCUCUAUGUUCUUAUUUACUCGCAUGAGUAAAUAAGCAAAGCUCCGGCGGUAAAAGAUGGGCAUGCGUCCUAUUAGCUUGUAGGUGAGGUAAUGGCUCACCUAAGCUCCGAUAGGUAGGGGUCCUGAGAGGGAGAUCCCCCACACUGGUACUGAGACACGGACCAGACUUCUACGGAAGGCAGCAGUAAGGAAUAUUGGACAAUGGAGGCAACUCUGAUCCAGCCAUGCCGCGUGCAGGAAGACGGCCCUACGGGUUGUAAACUGCUUUUAUACAGGAAGAAUUAUGCCUACGUGUAGGCAUUUGACGGUACUGUACGAAUAAGGAUCGGCUAACUCCGUG